GACGAACGCUGGCGGCGUGCUUAACACAUGCAAGUCGAACGGAAAGGCCCUGCUUUUGUGGGGUGCUCGAGUGGCGAACGGGUGAGUAACACGUGAGUAACCUGCCCUUGACUUUGGGAUAACUUCAUGAAACUGGGGCUAAUACCGGAUAGGAACUCCUGCUUCAUGGUGGGGGUUGGAAAGUUUCGGCGGUUGGGGAUGGACUCGCGGCUUAUCAGCUUGUUGGUGGGGUAGUGGCUUACCAAGGCUUUGACGGGUAGCCGGCCUGAGAGGGUGACCGGCCACAUUGGGACUGAGAUACGGCCCAGACUCCUACGGGAGGCAGCAGUGGGGAAUAUUGCACAAUGGGCGGAAGCCUGAUGCAGCAACGCCGCGUGCGGGAUGACGGCCUUCGGGUUGUAAACCGAUUUCGCCUGUGACGAAGCGUGAGUGACGGUAAUGGGUAAAGAAGCACCGGCUAACUACGUG
rnacentral:rRNA from 1 species